CACAUGCAAGUCGAACGGAGUUACUUAAUUUGAUCCCGUUCGGGGUGACGUAUUUUAACUUAGUGGCGGACGGGUGAGUAACACGUGAGCAACCUGCCUUUCAGGAGGGGACAACGGCUGGAAACGGCCGCUAAUACCGCAUAACAUACCGAGGCGGCAUCGUCUUGGUAUCAAAGGAGCAAUCCGCUAGAAAGAGUGGGCUCGCGUCUGAUUAGAUAGUUGGUGAGGUAACGGCUCACCAAGUCGACGAUCAGUAGCCGGACUGAGAGGUUGAUCGGCCACAUUGGGACUGAGAUACGGCCCAGACUCCUACGGGAGGCAGCAGGUGGGGAAUAUUGCACAAUGGGGGAAACCCUGAUGCAGCAACGCCGCGUGAAGGAAGACGGUUUUCGGAUUGUAAACUUCUUUUCUUAGUGAAGAAGAUGUGACGGUAGCUAAGGAAUAAGCAUCGGCUAACUACGUGCC
rnacentral:rRNA from 1 species